UCCCUGGCAGUCUAGCGGCUAAGGAUCCCGAUCUCUCGCCACCGCGGCCCGGGUUCGAUUCCCGAGCAGAGAA